CCCUAUAGUUGGUCAAAGGUUUCAAGCAUGAUGUACCUGGACUCCCCUGCCGGUGUUGGGAUGUCAUACUCAUUGAACAAAUCGGAUUACACAACAGGUGACCUGAAAACCGCAUCCGAUGCGCAUACCUUCCUUUUGAAGUGGUUCGAGUUAUACCCGGAGUUUCAGUUGAACCCAUUCUACAUUUCCGGAGAGUCAUACGCAGGGAUAUACAUUCCUACACUAGCUGAUGAAGUUGUUAAAGG